UACGUAGGGUGCAAGCGUUGUCCGGAAUUAUUGGGCGUAAAGAGCUCGUAGGCGGUCCGUCACGUCGGCUGUGAAAACCUGGGGCUCAACCCCGGGCCUGCAGCCGAUACGGGCGGACUAGAAUUCGGUAGGGGGAGACUGGAAUUCCUGGUGUAGCGGUGAAAAUGCGCAGAUAUCAGGAGGAACACCGGUGGCGAAGGCGGGUCUCUGGGCCGAUAUUGACGCUGAGGAGCGAAAAGCGUGGGGGAGCGAACAGG
rnacentral:rRNA from 1 species